CAGGUAUUCCAGUUGAUCACCUCAUUGUCUGUACCCAUUAUAGAUUACCAUGUGUCAAAGGAAAUAAAGUUUUGGUCCCACCAUUCUUCCCAGGACAUUCAAAAAGGAAAAGAAGACAAGAAUAAUUCUGAUAUCGGCCAAGCAGGAAUAUGGAGCACAGUGUAACAAAUACAACAACAGCCACUAUUCCUCCGAUGAGAGCAUGGUCAGGGCCAUUCUGGCCAGCCAGAGAAUUGGGAUCUGCAAGAGAAUGAAGAACAGUGUUUUAGCUAGUCUGUUACUGUCUCCUGAAGUACAUAUCUGGAACUAGAUGAGCCAUUUUAAAACAGCAUGUUUCUAUUAAAAUGAAUUUGCAUUGAUACAUAUUAUGCCAAUCAUUCAAUCAACAAAUAUUGGUUGUGUGGCUACAGCACACAAAACACCUGGAGGUAUAAGAUUAAACAUGUUAAUGAUUUUUACCAUUGAUUUCACAUUUUAAGGAAAAG
rnacentral:lncRNA from 1 species